rnacentral:lncRNA from 1 species
GGUCAUCGUGUAGUGGUCAGUUAAUUGACAUUUAUUGCUUUGUAUUAAAUGAACUUCAAUGCUUAGCUAUGGAAGCAAAAGUAAUGACCACUGUUUAUAACAUAUUUAUAUAUCGCUUUUGGCUUUCUAAAAGUAAGUACCUGUCAAAGGUAGAAACAAACAACAUUCUUUCUAAAUUUAAGUCACGUUGGUAGAUGUAUAAAAGGACUGUCUUUCUCAGACAGUCCAG